GCAAUCAUUUGUUAUUGUUGUUCUUUUUUUUAAUUUCAUUUUCGAGACUUCAAACCUCUUCCUUCCUUGCAUCAGUAGCGGAGCUUCAGCGUCGGCCACCACCAAACCUUGAGAAUGCCAUAUGUUGUACUAGGGCAUUUCAGUUCCAUUAGCCUAGAGCCUUUUUAGUUCCAACAAAUUUUUAAAAUUCUCCGUCACAUCAAAUCUUUGGGCACAUGCAUAGAGCAUUAAAUAUAGAUAAAAAAUAAUUAAUUGUACAAUUUGUCUGUAAUUUAUGAGACGAAUCUUUUGAGCCUAGUUAAUCUAUGGUUACAAUAAUUGCUAAAUACAACGAAAGAGUGUUACAGUAGCCAAACCCAAAAAUUUUCGCGAACUAAACAAGACCCUAGAUAUCGUGGACUGUAGCUCAUUGUUCCGUUUGCUAGUUAUGCCGCCAUAUCUUUUUUUUUUAUUUGUUCUCCGCCACUGUAAAUAACACAUCUUGCCACACAUGUUGUUCUUUUGGAUCAUGUAUGUCGUUUAGUAACCAAAAACGAUCGAGUAAAUACAUGGCAUAACAACCAUGUUCACUAAAGAAGGAUAUAGCUUUUGCCAAACCUUGAAUUAUUUCGACACUACUACGUGCUCUGCUCUAAUGUCGUAGUACACUCUAUCUGAGACUGAGGCAGAAGUAUGUUGGUGAUACACUCUAUCUCAGAAGGUA
rnacentral:lncRNA from 1 species